rnacentral:rRNA from 1 species
UACAGAGGUCUCAAGCGUUGUUCGGAUUCAUUGGGCGUAAAGGUGCGUAGGUGGCGCGAUAAGUCGGGUGUGAAAUCUCGGAGCUUAACUCCGAAAUUGCAUUCGAUACUGCCGUGCUCGAGGACUGGAGAGGAGACUGGAAUUCAUGGUGUAGCAGUGAAAUGCGUAGAGAUCAUGAGGAAGACCAGUGGCGAAGGCGGGUCUCUGGACAGUUCCUGACACUGAGGCACGAAGGCCAGGGGAGCAAACGGG